GAUCCUGAGAGGCUGAAUGAGGUGACUAGGAGAAGGGCGUGUCUCUGAAAAUAGAACCGAAGGAAUGAAAAUGAAUAUCUUUUCCUUAAAAAAAUGAAACAAAGCAAGAAAUCUUUCAUCCCAUCUCUCCUGUGAAGCUCAAGGUGGCUGAAGAACCGAAACACACAUACUGUUUAGUCCUCAACACAGUCCGACAUGGAGUAUUCUCCAGAAACCAUGGAUUACCACCCUGCCCCUGGAAUUCUGAUGGCUUCAAUAAGGAAAGAAAAAUAAAAGCCAAAGCAAGCUUUGAGACCCCACUUAAUAGCUCUGGGUGUUCUGCAUUAUGUCACACAGGUUUUUGGGUACGAGGAAGGGCAGGUGAUAAGCCUGCUGCUCAUUAUUUAUGACUGGGAUCAGUGGAGUUUCAUGAAGGAUGUGACAUUUGCUGUGGUUGUUGGAUUUGCUGGGAUUUCAACCGGCGAGUAUCAUGUGUGGCUGAAAGCAUCAGAAGUAUUCCCUUGACUUUACCUCUGCA